UGCGCAGGCGGUUGAUUAAGACAGGCGUGAAAUCCCCGGGCUUAACCUGGGAACUGCGCUUGUGACUGGUCAGCUAGAGUACGGCAGAGGGGGGUGGAAUUCCACGUGUAGCAGUGAAAUGCGUAGAGAUGUGGAGGAACACCGAUGGCGAAGGCAGCCCCCUGGGCCGAUACUGACGCUCAUGCACGAAAGCGUGGUAGCAAACA
rnacentral:rRNA from 1 species